rnacentral:rRNA from 1 species
UACGAAGGGGGCUAGCGUUGCUCGGAAUCACUGGCGUAAAGCGCACGUAGGCGGAUUGUUAAGUCAGGGGUGAAAUCCUGGAGCUCAACUCCAGAACUGCCUUUGAUACUAGCGAUCUUGAGUCCGGGAGAGGUGAGUGGAACUGCGAGUGUAGAGGUGAAUUCGUAGAUAUUCGCAAGAACACCAGUGGCGAAGGCGGCUCACUGGCCCGGUACUGACGCUGAGGUGCGAAAGCGU